CGCAUCUGUGCAUGCCGCAUAUCAAUAAGCGGAGGAAAAGGAGUAUACCUACGCUUAGGAUGUUGACACACGCGCGUGCUCGACUCUACACAUGACUCUGCAGCAUAUCAAUAAGCGGAGGAAAAGGCUGCGGAACUGAACGACCGCUACCUACGCUUAGGAUGUUGACACACGCGCGUGCUCGACUCUAUACAUGACUCUGCGCAUAUCAAUAAGCGGAGGAAAAGAAACUAACAAGGAUUCCCUUAGUAACGGCGAGUGAAGCGGGAAGAGCUCAAAUUUGAAAUCUUCAAGGUUUUACCUUGACGAAUUGUAGUUUAAAGAAGUGUUUUCUGUUGAAGUUUUGGUAAAAGUUCUUUGGAAUAGGACAUCAUAGAGGGUGAGAAUCCCGUAUUUGACCAUUAUCUUCAGCUGUGUGAUACACUUUCAAAGAGUCGGAUUGUUUGGGGAUGCAGUCCAAAAUGGGUGGUAAAUUUCAUCUAAAGCUAAAUAUUGGCGAGAGACCGAUAGCGAACAAGUACCGUGAGGGAAAGAUGAAAAGAACUUUGAAAAGAGAGUUAAACAGUACGUGAAAUUGUCAAAAGGGAAGCGUUUGACACCAGUGUUGUCUUCUCGAAAAUCAAUUAAAAAGAGUUAGAUUUUGUUGUGUAUUGACCUUAACAGCUUGCAUUUCAAUUUUCUUGCUUUUCUUUAAUGCACUUUUCAGUUAACAAGUCAACAUCAAUUUCUUUUGCUGUAAAAAAGCUUAAGGAAGGUGGCUUGAGAUUCGUCUUAAGUGUUUAUAGCCUCUUGCCUAUGCAGUCGGAGAGAUUGAGGUCUGCAGCGUAGAUCCUUCGGGGCUAAAUGCAUUUGUGCUAAGUUAUAGCAUUUUAUAGACAACUUGUUGACUAUGAUUUGUCUUGUAGCUUACUCGCUUAUGUUAUUUUACCUACGCUUAGGAUGUUGAACGCGCACAGAGUCUC
rnacentral:rRNA from 1 species